rnacentral:rRNA from 1 species
UUUUUGUGGAGGGUUCGAUUCUGGCUCAGGAUGAACGCUGGCGGCGUGCUUAACACAUGCAAGUCGAACGGGAUCCAGGCAGCUUGCUGCCUGGUGAGAGUGGCGAACGGGUGAGUAAUGCGUGACCGACCUGCCCCAUACACCGGAAUAGCUCCUGGAAACGGGUGGUAAUGCCGGAUGCUCCGACUCCUCGCAUGGGGUGUCGGGAAAGAUUAUAUCGGUAUGGGAUGGGGUCGCGUCCUAUCAGGUAGUCGGCGGGGUAACGGCCCACCGAGCCUACGACGGGUAGCCGGCCUGAGAGGGCGACCGGCCACAUUGGGACUGAGAUACGGCCCAGACUCCUACGGGAGGCAGCAGUGGGGAAUAUUGCACAAUGGGCGCAAGCCUGAUGCAGCGACGCCGCGUGCGGGAUGACGG